AGUCGAACGAGAGAUGAAGAGCUUGCUCUUCAAAUCGAGUGGCGAACGGGUGAGUAACGCGUGAGGAACCUGCCUCAAAGAGGGGGACAACAGUUGGAAACGACUGCUAAUACCGCAUAAGCCCACGGCUCGGCAUCGAGCAGGGGGAAAAGGAGCAAUCCGCUUUGAGAUGGCCUCGCGUCCGAUUAGCUAGUUGGUGAGGUAACGGCCCACCAAGGCGACGAUCGGUAGCCGGACUGAGAGGUUGAACGGCCACAUUGGGACUGAGACACGGCCCAGACUCCUACGGGAGGCAGCAGUGGGGAAUAUUGCACAAUGGGGGAAACCCUGGUGCAGCGACGCCGCGUGGAGGAAGAAGGUCUUCGGAUUGUAAACUCCUGUUGUUGAGGAAGAUAAUGACGGUACUCAACAAGGAAGUGACGGCUAACUACGUGCCAGCAGCCGCGGUAACACGUAGGUCACAAGCGUUGUCCGGAAUUACUGGGUGUAAAGGGAGCGCAGGCGGGAGAACAAGUUGGAAGUGAAAUCCAUGGGCUCAACCCAUGAACUGCUUUCAAAACUGUUUUUCUUGAGUAGUGCAGAGGUAGGCGGAAUUCCCGGUGUAGCGGUGGAAUGCGUAGAUAUCGGGAGGAACACCAGUGGCGAAGGCGGCCUACUGGGCACCAACUGACGCUGAGGCUCGAAAGUGUGGGUAGCAAACAGGAUUAGAUACCCUGGUAGUCCACACCGUAAACGAUGAUUACUAGGUGUUGGAGGAUUGACCCCUUCAGUGCCGCAGUUAACACAAUAAGUAAUCCACCUGGGGAGUACGACCG
rnacentral:rRNA from 1 species